rnacentral:tRNA from 2 species
CGGGGUGUGGCGCAGCUUGGUAGCGCAUUCGCUUUGGGAGCGAAGGGUCGCAGGUUCAAAUCCUGUCACCCCGACAA